rnacentral:rRNA from 1 species
CUCCUUGGUAUUCCGAGGAGCAUGCCUGUUUGAGUGUCAUGAAUCCCUCAGCCCCCAAUGCUUUUCGUUAAGUGUUGGCUUGGGUCUGGAUUUGGGCGAUUGCCAGAGAGCUUUUUCAAGUUCCUGGCUCGCCUCAAAGAGAUUAGCUGGACCCCAUUCCGAGCUGGUUCAACUCGACGUGAUAAUUUCAUUCGUCGAGGUAUGGUUCUUCUCCCUUAAACAAGGAGUGGAUCCAGCCAGGUGUAGGAAUCCGGUCUGCUUCCAACUUCUGUCUGAAGUCCAAUUUAUUGGGCAUGCAGCAGACUUUUUAAUGCUCUGGCCUCAAAUCAGGUAGGAUUACCCGCUGAACUUAA